GUCUACAGCCAUACUAUCCAGAACACACCCAAUCUUAUCUGAUCUCAAAAGCUAAGCAGGGUCAGCCCUGUUUAGUACUUGGAUUGGAAGCCACCUGCAAAUACCAGGUACUACAGGAA
rnacentral:rRNA from 1 species